GUAUGGGAAGGUUCAAAGUUUUCAUGAAUGAAUAUGAAUUAUUUCUACGUGACGUACUAAAAAGGUAAUAGUGUCUAUUUCCAUGAAAUGAAAAUGAAAUCAAUAUUCUAUAAACUUUUUCCACCAAUUUUUCUGUACACCUAAAAAAAUGCCGAGUAGAAAAAUAUAGCGUGGAUGAAUAUAGCGUGUACAAUUUUUCAAAUUUUGUUUUCUAUUUAAGUUUGUUAAUUCCUUUUUU